rnacentral:rRNA from 1 species
UACGUAGGGUGCAAGCGUUAAUCGGAAUACUGGGCGUAAAGCGUGCGCAGGCGGUGAUGUAAGACAGUUGUGAAAUCCCCGGGCUCAACCUGGGAACUGCAUCUGUGACUGCAUCGCUGGAGUACGGUAGAGGGGGAUGGAAUUCCGCGGUGUAGCAGUGAAAUGCGUAGAUAUGCGGAGGAACACCGAUGGCGAAGGCAAUCCCCUGGACCUGUACUGACGCUCAUGCACGAAAGCGUGGGGAGCAAACAGG